rnacentral:rRNA from 1 species
CCCUUAGAUGUCCGGGGCCGCACGCGCGCUACACUGAAGGAAUCAGCGUGGCUUUCUCCCUGACCCGAAAGGGUUGGGAAACCCGUUGAAUCUCCUUCGUGAUAGGGAUUGGGGCUUGAAAUUGUUCCCCAUGAACGAGGAAUUCCCAGUAAGCGCGAGUCAUAAGCUCGCGUUGAUUACGUCCCUGCCCUUUGUACACACCGCCCGCCGCUACUACCGAUUGAACGGUUUAGUGAGGGCCUCGGAUUGGUCUCGGCCCGCUCUUUACCGGGCGGCGCCGUUGGUCGAGAAGACGCUCGAACUUGAUCGUUUAGAGGAAGUAAAAGUCGUAACA